UCAACCUAAGUCUAACUCUUAACUCUCUCGACAAUCACAAACUCACCAUCGCCAUCUUCAUUCUUCAUUUACAGUCACCAAAUCUCCAUCGCCAUCUCUCUCACUCACUCCUUCCAUCAUCAAAGCCAAGAUCGUCAUCAACAUUGGAAUUAGAGAGCCCCAAAUCGUCAGUUCCUUUCCUAAAUCCCUGAUUGAAGCCCCAAAUCGAAAUUAAUUUAGGGUUUUACAAUAAUCCCUAAAUUGAAGCCACAAAUCAGACCAUUCCAGCAUUCCUACUUGUGAUUUCUUGUACUAGAAGGCCCGAUUCACAAAAGCCCUCAAAUUUAAAAGAAAAUUAAAGCUUUAACAGAAGAACCUCAAUGACCCUAAUUAAUGCCUCCAAGGCUCAAACUAUAUUCCUCCAACCAUUUAUUUAUGCUCCUUCAGUCAAUUUCAGGUUGGAAGCAUAAAGAUUAAGGCAAGCUUUAACUUGAGAAUGAAGAACCAUGAUGGCAAUUUAGUCCGUGAAGGAAAUAGAGGGAAGUUGGUGUGAUGAAGUUGGCAUGAAGAAUUGACGAUUAGAAGAUGUAUUAGUAUUAAGUUGGCUGCUUUUGUUUGUCUUUCUAUUAAAUUUGUAAUUUGUGUAAUAGAGUAUGUGUUAAAUUGGUUAAGCAACUUGUGGAUUAAUUUGUUGGUAUCCU